CCCAGUUCAAUUCCUGGCCGGGACACUGGACAUUUCAGAAAUGCUUCACAUGUUUCCCAGCCAACUACAGAUGUACAAAAUCCAUGUAUGAAACCCAUUUUAUUCUCGCGUGUAUCGGUGCUAUACACCGAACACGUAAAAGAACCAAGGGAUCUAUUAGAAAAAAGCUGGGGUAUCGCACCCGGAUUCCUUUUAUCUCAAUACUGUCUCUUCUGCUUGCUGUCUCUUCUGCAAAAAAGGACCCCAUUGGAAAUUCUGGAGGCAACGUGUAGGGUAGACAUCACAAACUUCCCAUUUGACACCCAGUAAUGUCCUCUCAAGUUUUCUGCAUGGAGCUAUAAUAAAGAAGAAGUAGCAUUGACAGAAGGACUUUAAGGCAUCAUCAUGAAAUACUUUGAAGAAAAUUCAAGAUGGUCGAUGGUAGAAACAACAGCAGACUCGGAAAGAGACGAUGGUUUUGUGAUUUUUUAGAUGAAACUGAAGCGGAAGUCAACAUUUUACGUGUUCUAUAUACUCAUCCCCAUCGUCCUACUUUCGUUUUUAAACGUCCUCACAUUUGCACUUCCGAUAUAGUCCGGGGAGCGUGCUUCUUACGCUAUCACAGUGAUCCUGUCUUUGGCCGUGUUUCUAACAAUAACAGCAUCUGAGAUUCCGAAGAACUCCGACAUCAUUCCAGUCAUCUCAGUUUACAUAACCGCAAUAACAGCACUUAGCACUGCAAACGUAAUAACGUCUCUGUUAGAAUCGCGACUUGCGUCCCGAAAUAAAAACAUUGACACAAUUGACCCAGGGUAUAUGGCACUCUAUCGCUUAGCUCGAAAAUGUCCGUGUAAAUGUGACGGAAAGAACCAUACCGUUAAAGACAUUGGGUGGGAAGACGUUGUUGCUGCAUUGGAUUAUGUCUUGUUUUGGUUAUUUUUUGUGAUUACCUUUGUAGCAACCGUUGUUUGGUUUGUAAUUGCAAAAAGGGGGCAAAGGGAGUAUUUUAAAACGAAUUAACUAAUCACGGCAAAGACCAUUAAAUACGAGGGUGAUUCAUCGCUUGGCACACACAUACAGAAACUAAAAACGAAGGGAAAUACGUUCAACGACAUAAACGUGGUCAAAUGUUGGACAUACACGUUUCAGUUAAUGCAGUCACCAAUAUCCCUUAAUCAAAACCGCGAUAAAAAUAACAUCUUUCGCGUAAAUCUGGCUUAUAAAGUCAAUUAUUCACACGUACGCAAUUUGAAGACUGAACGAAUCUCAUCACCCAUAGUUGCAAAUGAACAUCUCAAAGAUGUCAAAGACCCCAGGCAUAAUGGCAUACACUUCUCCAACUCAACAAGUUACGACAAAAUCGAUUACAUCAGAACCACAGCAUGGAAGCGCAUAAAGUCUUUACCGCAAAAGCUUACAAAUGAUUUAUCCUUCUUUAAACAUUCAACUUGUAGAACAUGGCCACUUUUGUCUUAUUGAACUGAAAGUGAAGAAACCGCUUUGCAGAAUAGAUCGAACCCGGGGCAACUUGAAAAGUGAUCGGUGCUUUCAAGUUAAUCUCUUAUUAUCUGUUGUAUGAAUAAAUCUUUAUGGGACACUUCUGAAUAAAAUUUACUUAAGCAAUAGAACAAAUGUAAUAUGCUGGUUGUUAAUAUUGUUUUAAUAAACUUGUCUGAUUUUAAAUUGUCAUUACGCAUUAUGCUUUUAGUUAAGUGUUUAAACACACGAUUUAUGUUCCUUGAACAUGAAUUAUGUAAAGUAAUAUAGUAUAUACUUCGGUUAAAUUUUCAUAACAUUAAGUUGGAAUUAUAUUUUGCA